rnacentral:tRNA from 3 species
GGGCCUGUGGCGCAGUUUGGGAGCGCGCUUCCAUGGCAUGGAAGAGGUCGUCGGUUCGAUCCCGACCAGGUCCACCA